rnacentral:rRNA from 1 species
UACGGAGGGUGCGAGCGUUAAUCGGAAUUACUGGGCGUAAAGCGCGCGUAGGCGGUUCGAUAAGUCAGAUGUGAAAUCCCCGGGCUCAACCUGGGAAUGGCAUUUGAUACUGUCAGACUGGAGUGUGGUAGAGGGAAGUGGAAUUCCGCAUGUAGCGGUGAAAUGCGUAGAUAUGCGGAGGAACACUAGUGGCGAAAGCGGCUUCCUGGACCAACACUGACGCUGAGGUGCGAAAGCGUGGGGAGCAAACAGG